rnacentral:rRNA from 1 species
UGGGGAAUUUUGGACAAUGGGCGAAAGCCUGAUCCAGCAAUGCCGCGUGUGUGAAGAAGGCCUUCGGGUUGUAAAGCACUUUUGUCCGGAAAGAAAUCCUUGGCUCUAAUACAGUCGGGGGAUGACGGUACCGGAAGAAUAAGCACCGGCUAACUACGUGCCAGCAGCCGCGGUAAUACGUAGGGUGCAAGCGUUAAUCGGAAUUACUGGGCGUAAAGCGUGCGCAGGCGGUUUGCUAAGACCGAUGUGAAAUCCCCGGGCUCAACCUGGGAACUGCAUUGGUGACUGGCAGGCUAGAGUAUGGCAGAGGGGGGUAGAAUUCCACGUGUAGCAGUGAAAUGCGUAGAGAUGUGGAGGAAUACCGAUGGCGAAGGCAGCCCCCUGGGCCAAUACUGACGCUCAUGCACGAAAGCGUGGGGAGCAAAACAGGAUUAGAUACCCUGGUAGUCCACGCCCUAAACGAUGUCAACUAGUUGUUGGGGAUUCAUUUCCUUAGUAAUGUAGCUAACGCGUGAAGUUGACCGCCUGGGGAGUACGGUCGCAAGAUUAAAACUU